AUUCACACCCUGCGCCUCCUCCACCGCCAUUUUUAUACUCCUACUAUUUAGUGCGGACCUCCCUCCCAGCUGCUACAGUCCUACUCCUACUAUUCAUCCAUCCGUCUCACUAGCUAGCAGCUUCUCCUUCUCCUCCUUCUCUCUCUCUCUCUCUCUCUCUCCAUGCCAGCCUAGCCUAGCCUAGCUGGUACUUAUCUCACUCCCACUCCUCGCAAUAUCUUCUUCUUCCUCCUCCUCAAUUUCCCCUUCUCUCCCCCCUUUUCCUCACCUCUUUCCAGGCCAGGUGUGCCGGCCGGCGCGCGCGUUUCCACUAGCGGAGCCUCUUCAUGCAUGCACUGCUCAUGGCUCCGCGCCCUCGCCCGUCCGCCUCACUCCCACAGUAGCCGCCGCCUAACAACAACUCAACAGUGAGCAGCUACCGCAAGACAAUUCCCCUCUGCGGCGACUGAGGAGGUGAGGGCCGGAGCCAUGCAGCAGCCGGCCGACAUGCCGCCCUUCUCCCCGCCCGGCUGGCGCGGGCCCGCCGGGGCGCCCUCGCCCAUCAGCAGCCGCCCGCCCGCGCCGGCCCCGGCUCCGGCUCCUGCGCCAGGACAGCAGCACCAGCAACACCAGCAGCAACAUCAGCAGAUGGACGAGCAGCACGGGGGGGGCGGCGGUGAGCGGGUCGGGCUCCGGGAGCGUGGACGGCGGCGAGGAGGGCGAGCGCGGCGGGUCGUCGUCGGCGGCGGGCGGCAACCGGUGGCCGCGGCAGGAGACGCUGGCGCUGCUCAAGAUCCGGUCCGAGAUGGACGCCGCCUUCCGGGAGGCCGCCCUCAAGGGCCCGCUCUGGGAGCAAGUCUCCAGGCGGCUGGCGGAGAUGGGGCACACGAGGAGCGCCAAGAAGUGCCGCGAGAAGUUCGAGAACGUCGACAAGUACUACCGCCGCACCAAGGACGGCCGCACCGGCCGCGGCGACGGCAAGACCUACCGCUUCUUCACCGAGCUCGAGGCGCUCCACGGCGCCUCUGCCGCGCACCACCCGCCGCCUGCUCACGUGGCCGUCGCGCCACCGUCCGCCCCAGCCGCGAGCACAAUUGGCGCGUACUCCGGCGUGCCCUCGGCGCCUUCGCGCGUCCUGCUGGCCGAGCCGUCUCCGCCGCCCCUUCUCCUAACGCAUCAGCCGGUGUCUACCGAGGCGGCCGCAUGCCUGACGACGACGACGGCGGCGGUGGUGGGCGACGCGAGCUUCUCUGAUGGCUCGGACGGGGAGGACACGGACGAGACGGCCGACGGCGGGAAGCGGAAGAGGCGGGGCGGGAGCGGGAGCUGGGGCCAUGGCGGCAAGGCCAUGAGGUUCUUUGAAGGGCUGAUGCGGCAGGUCAUGGAGCGGCAGGAGGCCAUGCAGAGCCGCCUCCUGGAGGCCAUCGAGCGGCGCGACCAGGACCGCAUGAUCCGCGAGGAGGCCUGGCGCCGGCAGGAGGUGGCGCGCCUCGCCCGCGAGCAGGACGCGCUCGCGCAGGAGCGCGCCGUGGCCGCCUCCCGCGACGCCGCCGUCGUCUCCUUCAUCCAGAGGAUCACCGGGCAGAUCGUCCCCGUGCACGCGCCGCCAUCGUCCUUCCCCGCUAAGCCGGCCGCCACCGUCAACUCGGUCAAGCCGCCGGCGCUGCAGCCGACGCCCGUCGCCUCCGCUGCGCCCGCACCUCCUACUCCACGGCCGCCCGUUCAGGCGCAGCCGAACGUGACUACGCCAAUGAGAACACAACCGCAGACGCCGCCGCCGCAGCCACAGCAGCACGCAACGCCGACGGCGACAGAGCCACAGCCAGUGACGCCGCAGCCGCAGCACCUACAGAGCAAGGAGAUCGUCGUCGUCCACGCGGCGGAGCAGCCGCCGGUGGACAUGGCCGGCGGCGCGUCGCCGUCUCGGUGGCCCAAGGCGGAGGUGCACGCGCUGAUCCAGCUGCGGACGGAGAUGGAGACGCGGUACCAGGACACGGCGCCCAAGGGCCCGCUGUGGGAGGACAUCUCGGUGGGGAUGCGGCGGCUGGGCUACAACCGGAGCUCCAAGCGGUGCAAGGAGAAGUGGGAGAACAUCAACAAGUACUUCAAGAAGGUCAAGGAGAGCAGCCGGAAGCGCCCCGAGGACUCCAAGACCUGCCCCUACUUCCACCAGCUCGACGCGCUCUACCGCACCAAGGCGCUCGCAUCCUCCUCCUCCUCCUCCCCCGUCGUCCAUGCGCCGGUCACCGUGCUCUCGCCGGUGCCGCUGUCUUCCCAGACGCCACCUCCUGCGGCGCAGCACGUCGAGCACGGGGCCAAGAGCUCGAUCACCAACGGCAACGGCCAUGGGAACGGUAACGGCGCGGCCAUGCAAGUGAAGGCGAGCAACGGCGCCGGUGCUGCGGCGAUGUUCCCCUCCCCCGUCCAUGCCGCCGGCAACGGCGGCAACAACGGCACGGCGACGAACAAACUGGAAUCCAAGCAAGAAGUUAUCCCGAAGGAGACGGCAACGGUGGUACCGCCGGCCGUGGCCAUGAACCACAGCUACGGCCGCAACGACAGGAGGGACGUGUACGACCUGGACAGCGACAGCAUGGACGAGGACGAGGAGGACGACUUCGACGACGACGACGACGACGACGACGAGGAAGACGACGCCGUCGGCGUCCCCGGCGGCCGCAACAUCAACAUGCCGCCGGCGCAGUACGACGCCCACUUCCUCCAAAGGCAGCAUCAGCAGCAACAACAUCAGAACCACAACCACAACCACAACGUCGUCCGGCCCAACGCAGCGAACGGCAGCGGCAACCCGCCGGCGGGCAACGCGGCGCCUACAUCUGCCCCGGCGACAAGCGGGACGCCAUUCCUGGCCAUGGUCCAGUGAUGAUCGAGCAAGACGACGACGACGACGCUAGCGCUACAAACCAAGAAAGCCCAGGUGGUACCGAUCUCGAUCUCUCGUGUGCCCAUACGGAUCUACAUCUCCACAUGCAUGCCCACUUGAUCGAUCGAUUGAUACCCCCUGCCUGCCUGCCUGCCGGUGCUAGCUAGGUAAAAACCCUACACAGAAAAUUUACUUUUGCUCCUUCCAAUCCAACCCAAUCCAACAACCCUAAAUUAUUUCCAUUAUUGUUAUUAUUGUUAUUAUUCCUGGUGCACAUAUAUAUAUAUAUAUGGGCGGCGUAUACAUGAUGUACAUGUCACACAUCUUCACCACACUGUACGUAGAGGCACGGUAAAUUAAAAGGCGUGGGAAUUUACCUUUUUAUUUUUUGAGGAUACUUUUGGAGUUACCAUUUUUGUCUAAAAAAAGUUACUGUCCAGCAUGUGUCAUGUAAGAAUUUUGUGCUCUUGUUAAAUGUUGAUGACUGUCAAGAACUUUACACUUGGUAAA